rnacentral:misc_RNA from 1 species
AACUGAUACUACCUGCGGGAACCUGCGGAGGGAUCAUUAACGCGCCGUGGAGGUUGCCUUUAAAACAGGUCUGACCUUCCACCUGGCCACCCUUGUUUAUCUUUAACCUGUUGCUUUGGUGGGCCCGCUGCAAGGCCGCUGGAGAAUUUAAAAGUUUUCUGGCCCGUGCCCACCAAAGUCCUAGCGAACUCUUUGUUAAUUUUCUGCUGUCUGAGCAUUAAAAGAAACAAUUUUUAAAAC